rnacentral:rRNA from 1 species
GACGAACCGUGCGAACGUUGUUCGGAAUCACUGGGCUUAAAGGGCGCGUAGGCGGGCGGCCAAGUCCGGGGUGAAAUCCUCCAGCUUAACUGGAGAACGGCCCCGGAUACUGGCGGUCUCGAGGAGGGUAGGGGCAAGCGGAACUAUGGGUGGAGCGGUGAAAUGCGUUGAUAUCCAUAGGAACUCCGGUGGCGAAGGCGGCUUGCUGGACCCUUUCUGACGCUGAGGCGCGAAAGCCAGGGGAGCAAACGGG